UGAAUCUUAAUUACGUUGGACCUAGCAAUGCAUACUUCUGUUCUCUAUCACUCCAGCUAACCUCAGUUUUCUCUUUGUACGUACGUCCAUCUCUAUCAGACUCUCGAUCCACCUCCAUCUCUCAUUUUCUAUCCUUCUUGAUCUUCGGCCUUAAUUGAUCGAACUGCAUAUACAUUAUUGUCAUAUAUUAUGCCCAAGUAGACUAGCAGGCUUUUGUUGAAGUCCUAAUGUUAUACAUAAAUCCCAAUAAAUGAGUGAUUGCAGGGUUCGAUCAGCUCCAUUACCCAACCAAUACAACGAAAAAAAAGCAAUGGUAUUGGCCUCAUCACAUGCCUUAGGAGCUAGAGUUGGCUCAACUUCUGGGCUAGGCUCCACGUCAUUGAUCACCCGGAUGCUCACCAGGAGUUGUUGAACUUGGGAAGUGAUCGACUACUCUUUCAGAGACUGUUGGCUUGGCAUGCAUGGCUUUUGUAAGUGAGAAAUCGACGUUGGAGAUUGAAUGGUCGGAAUGGCUUAUUGGUACGUGAAUUGAAGGAGUACUUACCGGAAGGCCUAACUGGCCGUUGACAGUCUCAAAGGGGAUGAUCGGAGGUCAUGAUUCUCAAAGAAAAAGUUGUAAGCAAGCCAUAUAUUGAUUGAAGUUUGUUCCUUUUCUUGACGUCUCUGAACUUAAUUAGAAUAAAAAUGGUCUUACAGUGAAUCAAUGAGCUUUAGAGGAGUCAGUUCAAACUCAUGUACGUACAAAUAGUUUGGUUUCAUGCUGAUUUUUCUCUAUGA